ACCAUUGGACUCCUUCCACGUGGCAUAGACGGCUUCGAUAAUAUUUUUGGUCCCCAUAGCAUCGUAUCGUCCCUCGGAGAUGGUGCACUCGACCUCGAGGAUACAAAGGUCCAUCGCAGGGCCCUUCCGGAGGACUCUGCUUCUCUUUCCGCAAUAGCUUGCCGCUUCGUCCAGCGGUCCAGGGAUUAAUAUCUCCACCCGGGAUCGGCAGGAAGGGAGAAUAAGAAAACGAGAGCGCGGUAGAUAGAAUCGAAGGGAGAAAAGAUGGAGAAGGCGAUCAACAGGCAGCGAGUCCUCCUCCAACACCUCCAACCUUCCACUCCUUCCCUCGAUGAAUCGUCUAUGCUAUCGGCUUCUAUUUGUGCUGCUGGCGAUAGUACAGCGUAUCAGAGGAGUUCUUGCUUUGGAGAUGAUGUCGUUGUUGUGGCUGCUUAUCGAACUCCAAUUUGCAAGUCCAAGCGAGGAGGAUUUAAAGAUACAUACCCUGAGGACCUGCUAGCAACUGUUCUUAAGGGAUUGUUGGACAAGACUAAACUGAAUCCAAAUGAAGUCGGUGAUAUUGUGGUUGGCACUGUCUUGGCACCAGGCUCUCAAAGAGCCACUGAGUGCAGGAUGGCAGCUUUCUAUGCUGGUUUCCCUGGUAUUUUCAUUUCCUUGUUUAAUAUGAAUUUAACACUUAUUGUUAUGCCCACUAACAUGAAAAUUAUUUUAUGGAAUCCUUCAGAAACUGUGCCUGUCAGAACUGUUAACCGGCAAUGCUCAUCUGGCCUUCAGGCAGUUGCUGAUGUUGCUGCUUCCAUAAAAGCUGGGUUUUAUGAUAUUGGCAUUGGUGCUGGGCUAGAAUCUAUGACUGCAAAUGUAGUUUCUUGGGAAGGGUCAAUAAAUCCAAAAGUAAAAACACUUCAGCAAGCUCAAGAUUGUCUCCUUCCCAUGGGAAUUACCUCUGAAAAUGUUGCUUGUCGUUAUGGUGUAACCCGACAGGAACAAGAUUGGGCUGCUGUUGAAUCUCAUAGGCGGGCAGCUGCUGCAACUGCAUCUGGUAAAUUUAGAGAUGAAAUCGUUCCUGUUGUCACCAAGAUUGUAGACCCAAAAACUGGAGACGAAAAACAAGUGACAAUAUCUAUGGAUGAUGGAAUUCGGCCAGAGACAUCAUUGUCAGGUCUUGCAAAGCUCAAACCCGUAUUUCAAAAAGAUGGGAGCACAACUGCUGGCAAUUCUAGUCAAGUGAGUGAUGGCGCUGCAGCAGUCCUCCUCAUGAGGAGAGAUGUAGCCAUCAAGAAGGGGUUCCCCAUAUUUGGUGUAUUCAGGAGUUUUGCAGCAGUGGGAGUAGAUCCUGCUGUUAUGGGCAUCGGUCCUGCUGUUGCAAUACCUGCUGCAGUAAAAUCUGCUGGUCUUCAGAUUGAAGAUAUCGACCUCUUUGAAUUAAAUGAGGCUUUUGCCUCUCAAUUUGUUUAUUGCUGCAAGAAGCUGGAGCUGGAUCCAGCAAAAGUAAAUGUAAAUGGAGGUGCAAUUGCUCUUGGGCAUCCGUUGGGUGCAACAGUACCUGAAGACUGGCUUCAAUGCUAAAAGACCAUUGUUCUCCCUACCAUGGACUGAUGUUUGCUAUUCUGGUUCUUUUACUCCAUAUUUGCCAUUUCGCAAGAAACUUUUUAAUGCAGCUACACAAGGAUUCUGAGUGGUCACUGGCCUGUGAAGAGUUGCUAGUGUGCCCGAUGUGUCAGUACUCUACUUAAUGAAAUGAAGCGCAGGGGCAAAGACUGCCGUUUUGGAGUGGUUACAAUGUGCAUAGGCUCCGGAAUGGGUGCUGCCGCAGUCUUUGAAAGAGGGGAUGGAGUUGACGCACUCUGCAAUGCUCGGAAGAUCCCGUCACAGAACCUGUUGUCCAAGGAUGCUCGGUAGAGCCGCCCAUCAAAAUUACAAAUUGGGUCAAGGUAAUACCAAUAAACUAAGGUUUAGAAUGUAUUUUGGAUCAUGGCUUGCCUUUUCUGAUGAGGUCAUCUCAAAUAACAAGAUUACACCUCAGAGUAGGUAGCACCCUUGUGCAAGUUGAAGUGCACUGUCCGUACAAUGGAAUCUAAGGGAACAUGAGCAUCCCAACUGAUGCGCUUCAACUAUUAUAGAACUCUAGAAUCCGGAUGACACCUGGAUUAAUCUUAAUAGACAUAAGUUCUUCUUUCUGAAUAUGCUUUUGCUAAUAUAUUGCAGACUUUUGUACUUGAA